CUUACUUUCACACUGUGAAGAGUUUAGUCCCUUUUAAAAAUCAAGAGUUUGUUAAGAUGUCUGGAGAGCGCUCUUCUCACUCCACAAAGGGAAUCCACCGAGCAGUUCCCCAGCAUACAGAAACAACAGUAUACAGACCUCACCUGCCAAAACCGUGAGCCACCUGCUCCUCAUUUCUAAACAGUGAAAGCCCUUGAAUUAGCCAAAAGAAACCAGUGUGUGACUUCAAGUCGCAAAGGUCAGGUGCCCCAGUAAGAGUGUGGGAAGCUUGGAGCCGUCCUUGGGCAGGUCCCACCACGGAGCCAUGGGAGGAGGUCCUGGUGUAAGAUGCCUGGCGGGGAAGUGUGAGCCCCCAGAGGUUCGUGGGCUGCAGGAGGUGUUGGAAGGCAAUUGCCCAACAGAGGAAAGGCUAUCAUGCAGCAGCAGCCGUGGACUUCCCUUCCACCUCCUAAUGACCCUACUGCAAAAAGCUCAUGCUAAUGAUGCAAGAAGCUCAAACCAACGUUUGGUUUCAGCUACACGACAAGUCUGCAGGAACCCAGUGAUCCAUAGCUGUAGUGGUAAUAAAGCUGAUAAUUUUUUUAUUUUUUUAUUUUUUUUUAAUAAAUAUUGGCUUUUGUAAAGCUAUGGGCUUGGUUCCAGAGUUACAUGGUGAAAUUCCCAGGUGUUUUCUGUAUCACGUCUGUUCUGGCCUGCAGCAUCCGCUGGGCCCAAGAUGCGUAGCACAAUAUGAGCUCCUGUCAAGUUAAUUUAGCUUUCCGUGUCUGUUUCAGGAAGCAGCCACCCGAAGCAGACUGCUGACUCUCCAUCCCUUUCCACCUGCACUCUCCCACCUCCACCUGCGUGUUCGCACUGAAUAUUGUGCGUUUGAUCAUGCAGCUGUGCAGUGAACGCAGUCAGCCCAUUGAUCCUGCUGAAGUCCACUGCUAUCCUAUAGAAUUUAUUUUUGGCAGGAUCUCUGAGCUGAUCCAUUUUGCCAUGUGAGUGCACCAGCUGAGAUACAAGGCUGGUGAUGGAAAGGUAUGGCUGGGG
rnacentral:lncRNA from 1 species